AAAAUUUUAGUUUAAUUUAAAAUAUUUUUUUUACAAAAAAAAGUUAAUUUAUAAAAUAUUAAAUUUUA
rnacentral:tRNA from 1 species